GGCUCAAUCUUUCAAAAAUCCCUGCACUAAUUGGCGCCGUGAGCAGGCUCCUACACUGGAUAACAACCAACUAGUUGGCUCCUAAGUGGGAGCCUUGACCAAAUAUCUUCGCUUUGUCCUGUUCCUCCCAUCCCUGUGGCUAGCAUCAAACGUUGAUAAUUAAAUACAUUGAAGCACACAUGACUGAAGUUACUGGAUCUCUAAAACCAGUGAUAACAAUGGUAAAGCACAAUCUUGAAGGAACUCACUCAAGACAGUCACCAUCGAGUUGGG